ensembl:lncRNA
CUUAAACAAGGUAUGCAGAGAAUUUGUGUUUCUGUCUCAUUUAUGCCCUAUAUGGCACCCCUUCAACCACUCUUCAGUCAGUCCCCUUAACUCACUGCCUUAACAUUCCCUUUUACUUUCCCUAGGAACUCUCUGUCAGAGUUUAGUUCUAUACUCAGGCUGGGAAAACUACUGGAUACAAUCUGCAGCCAAGACUGUUGCUGCUAUACAUUUCAGAGGUCCAUUCAUUUAUAGGUAAAGUCUUUAUUGUGCUCUUGUCACACACCAGAUGCUGUGCUAGGCCCAGUGGUCGUAGCAUGGACAGAACCACAGAGGCUCAAUAUCCUCACGGAGCUUCAAAUCCAUCUAAGGGUCCAGUAACAGCUGCAUUUCCUGCCUACUGGUUCCUCUGAGGACACGUUCCUGGUUAAAGCCCACUCCUGUUUUCCACACUGGCCAAUCCAGACCAUCACCACAUUUCUCAAGUUUAUCAAUAUAAGCUCACUUUGAUCUCUAGCAGUCUCCUCUGCAGAGAAGUCUCAAAUCAUCUUUCCAGAAGAGCAGACUGAGCACAGCCAAGCGAUCUUGGAAGCUUCGGGGACUCACUGCUCCAUUUUAGCAACUUGGUGGUCUGGAAUUGAACUCGCAAUAUCUCUGAAGUCAGCCUGUGGUCCUCAUGAUGACCCUCCUAAGUUAAGUAUUGUUAUUCCUCUUUCAGGGGAUCUUCC